GUGAAAUUGAUCAGAUAUAUUACGAUACAGAGCAGACUUUUUGUCCCCAUAACAUGUCCCCUGGCUACAGAAUAAAAGUUUUUCGCAAUGGUACAAUGUAAAUACAGUUUAUAAGUAAAGAAGAUCCGAGGUCAUUCCCCUGCUUAAGAUUUUGUUAGCAUUGGCAAUAUCAAUUGCCACUUACCUGGCUACUUUACAUAAUAUUUAUGAUACUUUAAAAAAAAGUUGUCGUGGAUUUGAAAUAUGACAUUGCUUGAGUGUAAGAUAUAGGCUGUCCCAGAAUACCUGAUACCUUUAAAAUUGAUAUAAAUUAGAUAAUGGCAAAGACUCGUAAAUUGCGACUAAAAUAGUAAAAGUAAAGUAAAAUCGUUUCCUACAAAAAAAAAGAACCAAAACAAAAAACCGGGAGGAGAACAUGCCUUUAUUGAAUUACGAAGUCACAAAAAUGCAAUAUAUUUCUUUGGUUGAACUGAAUAUUUUUUAAAAUGUAUCGGACAAGAGAGCGGGCAUCCUCCGUUUUAAUUAACCGUUUUAAAAUUCCUGGGGAAAAACAACUCAACAAGCAAAAGAUAUUUAGAGGACUUAGUGAAAAGACAUGAGAAAAUGGGAUCCGUACAGGGGUUGUACUUAUGUAAUUGACUGCAAAUAUUUGUCGGCAAAUGUUGCUCACUUGGCGUGUUUGUGACGUUAUCCAUGCAUCACACAUGUUGUGUAUCUCUUUGUAUAACUUACUCCUGUGCUUGUCAUUCAACGUCAAGUCGCUGACUCGCAGUGUAUUUCUCACCAACACAUUUUUUUUUACAGAAAAGACGAACAAGGCUGCUUCCCGUAUUAAUUAUUUUCGUGUCAGCGAAAACGCAUUGACCCAGUCAAGAUAAAAGCAUCUGUUUGAACCUGUGUACACACAUCUUCCAUGCACCUGAUUACGUACAUACAUUUAUGUACUUGUCAACAUGCCUAACAAGCUAAAGUAGGAGAUUGCAUUGAUCUUAUCAAGGAGAAAGCAGGAUCUCAUAACACUGUACAGAGGAUCCGAGUUCUGGACAUAGUGGAAGGGAAAUCAAGGUCUGGGAACACCAAAGUGAUAUUAAGACUUUGGAAAAAAGCUUUUCCAGUGGAAAUAUCUUGAUGAAUGAUAGAGGAAUGGAAAUAAAACUGUGAUAUUGCAAA